GCCCUCGUAACUCAGAGGAUAGAGUGCCGGCCUCCGAAGCCGGAUGCACAGGUUCGAGUCCUGUCGAGGGCA
rnacentral:tRNA from 1 species